rnacentral:lncRNA from 1 species
GUGAGAUCUGGGACCCGGCGGGGACGGGGAGGCGGGGCCCAGGUGGGAGGGGCGAGAUCUGGGACCGGGAGGGAGCGGGACUGAGGAGCGGGUUGGCGGGGCCGGGACUGGGACCCGGGCAGGGGCAGGCUGGGAUCUGGGCCCGGGUCGCAGCCAGGGCGGGGGCGUUGGUGGGAGCGGCAGUGGCUGGGACCUGGGCGGGGGCGGGGCGCCGAGGGCGGGGCUGGGGCUGGGCCCCGGGCGGAGCCGAGGGCGGGGGGAGGUGGGCGGAGCGGGGCUGGGAAGCGGCGCGGCCGAGGGGCUGCAGGAAAGUUGCGGGGAUCGGAGCGGCAGCAGCCGCGGAGCCGCGGGAGUGGGGACCGCCCCGCGGGGGCAGAGCGGGCGGCGCGCACCGGGGCGGCAGGGAGCGCCCCAGACCCGUCUCCCGGGGAUGUGUGGGGCCCCGAGCCUGGUGCGGGCGCGCGGCCGGGCACAGCGGUUCCGUUACCCGUGUAUCAGAGAACCGACAAAAGGGAGGUGCACCGUAUGCAGGUUAGGAGUGAAAAAAGCAAGCCCUCCCCAACCACCAUCCCAAAUCUGGAACAAAUAAUCCUAAAAUUUGUAUGGAACCAGAAAAGAUCCCAAAUAGUCAAAGGAAUGUUGAAAAAGGAAACCAAAACUGGUGGCAUCACAAUAUUCACAAUAUUGGACUUCAAGUUCUAUUACAAAGGCAUAAUCAUCAAGACAAUAUGA